UGAAACUAACUGCAGCGCUUUGUUGAGCGUUGCAGUCAUUUCAGUCGCUGUAGUAGUUGACGUGUAUAGUGUUGAGUCAACCGCGUACAUAUAGAAACUCUUUACCUUUUACUCAAAGUCAGUGGCAUGUCGUUUUUAAAGAUUGAACAAAGCAAGGGGUCUAAACAGCUACACUGUUAUCUGUGUUAUAAUGUUUUAUCUUGAUUGUAUAUACUUUUUUGCUCCUCGUGAGGUAGAUGACCAGGUUCUUUUCUGUUUCUGAUUCAAUGUAUCAUUAGGUUCGAUGUGUGUGAUCUGUGUUGCUGAUAAAAUCUUCGAUGUCUUCCUCAAAAUGAUGGCUGAAAAAGAUAGGUGUGCUCUUAACCUUUUCACAUAUGAGUUCCAAAUAUCUCUAAGGGUCGUCCUAGCGUGAGUUUUUUCUAUACGUGAUGUCAAAAUGCGCUCACUAUUCCAACAUGCGAUUGUCACUCAACAGGACAGUUAAUCCGUGCUGCCCUCAAACUAAGGCACUCUGCCUGCUUUUUAUUUAUAGGCUGUUUCAUAUUGUCAAUUUCAUAUUUUCUAACAACAGUUUGAAUUGAGGUGUGUUCCGCCUCCUCAUUAAUUCACAUAAAAGUAGGCCAUUACAUUUUUGUGGACAAUACAUUUUGGGGGGGCAUUACUGAGCCUGAAAAACUUCGCCAAGCACUUCGCCAUUGUUUACGCAGGUCAAGUAUGCAGACAUUUGCGUAUCUCCAGUCAGAUCAGAACCUGCAUAAUUUUUUUCACAUUUUCCGGCUGGUGCCCGAUUCGCCUUCAUUGUUUUCAUUACUGCAUGAUAAUAACUUUGGAGAUGUGUGCGUUUCUAUCAAAAAACCGCAAACAUUAUUUGCCAAUAUCAUCAUAACUGGAGCUGGACAUCUUUGGAGCUGAAGAAUGAGGACAGCUUUUGUAUGCUAACCUACACUCCUUAACAGUUGUACUGGAUGAAAACACAGCAAGAAAACACAUAGGACAAUAUGUGAGAUGGUUGGCCAACAUGGUUGCUUUAUGGACAGUGGAGAGGACACGGACGUCUCGUUUGUCAUGCCACUUUACUGCCAGCUGUUGACCGUUCUCCUGGAACUCCAGCCACCCCUCUGCUGCAUCCGAAUGCCGGCAUCCCCUUCCUGUUCGACCUGACUGUGCCACAGGCCCCUGUGCUGUUGGAGAGCAGAUGCUGGAAGAGUGUGAGACUGCUGUACCAACUGUCUUACAUACAAAGUGUGUCCCUUGCUGAGAUGAGGAGCCAGCAUGGUCAUCACCAGGGACCCGGACACCCCAGGCCCCUCAUAAUGGUUGGAUGUCAGUGGUGGACCCUGUAUAGACUAUAAUAUCCUGGACAAAUCCUGUCUUCACGUCGCACAUGACAAAGAACUUGACCCCAAACGUGUGCCUUUUGGAGGAAAUACAUGGACCAGCUUACCCUUCCAUAACAUCAGGGACUUUUCUUAUUUUGUGUGACGGGUCAUUUAGGUUGGCAGUAGCAUUGUUGAUUGAAAUGCAGGCAUCGCAGCAGAACUAGGAAGUGGUCUUUGGAAAAGAUGGUGGCAAAGAAGGGAGUUGCAAACAGGAUCUGUGCUCCAGUAUUCUCUUAGGGAGUUCUUCUUUACUAUUCCCAUGAGAAGGACUGUCACCAGGAAGGUAUACAUUUCACUAAUUGUGGUUGUCCCAGCCACUCCUGGCUCUCUCUUCUCCUGUAGCUCCAAGGCAUAGCGAUUGGUCUCCUCUACUAUGUCUCCCACCAGCUUCUCUGUCAGAAACAGCUUGAAACACUCUUCCUCAGAGGGAAAUGGCAAGGGGCUUUGCACUUCAGACUGGGACUCAAAGCAAACAGCAGGGCAGGGAGGGGUGAAAUUGCAUUCACUUACCAAAGACCUCCUGUACUUCAUCCACUGGUCUGCCUCCAUCACUACCAGCAUCUUCAAAGGGACCUGGGACUUCGUCAGUGGACAAGGGGUCCUCAGAUUCAGGGUUCUCAAUGGCUACAAGGUUGGGGGGCAGCUCCUCACUGUCACUGUCAGAAUCUGAUUCCUGACUUUCAGACUCACUGUCAGAAUUGAUAAAAAAUCAUUUGUGAAGGAGAUUGCUAAUGCUACAGCUUAGCCUACUAACUACAUAAACAACAACACUGAAUGGCUCAGAGUGGGAGUCAGAGGUUAUGUGAUUGACUGCCGACACAUCCCUAAACAGUGUUAAAUGCUGACUGUUGCGUCAAUCGAAACUGGACGUUCUAAAUAAGCGCUCUAAUCACACCGGUUUGAGCGUACGUUGUAGAACGAUCACACCUGUUUGUUGUUCCGUGUGAAAAGGUUAAUACCAAAUGUUGCCUUGGUUUUGAAAUAUUUUACAGCCCGGUUUAAGGUGGUAUUUGAAUGGUAUUAACUUAGAAAAUAUGUGUUAACUGUAGUUUACAUAAAAUAAAUUGUUUAAGAAUUGUGUAUCAAA